CAGCUUCCGGAGUAGCUGGGACUACAGGCGCCCGCCACCUCGCCCGGCUAAUUGUUUGUAUUUUUAGUAGAGACGGGGUUUCACUGUGUUAGCCAGGAUGGUCUCCAUCUCCUGACCUCGUGAUCCGCCCGCCUCGGCCUCCCAAAGUGCUGGGAUUACAGGCGUGAGCCACCGCGCCUGGCCCCUCCUUUACUUCUUGGCACCUUUAGAAGAUUCUGACUGCUGUUCACUUAAGUGGGAACAGCACUGCGUGCACAAUGCUCACUGUGCAUCUGCCCGUGUUCCGAAUCACAUCCAAUAUGACUUCCUGGCAGCGGGUUGGCGUCUGCGUAUUGUUACUGCAGUGGUUGUCUACCUGAGCCUUGUCUACUGUGAGCUGGAACACCUACCUCCCCCUCUGGAGAGCAGGAAUUGGAGGCGGUUCUUCUGCUGGUCUCACUUGGAGUCUCUCAUGCAGAUGUACUCA
rnacentral:lncRNA from 10 species